rnacentral:rRNA from 1 species
UUAUAAAAGAUCAUUU